rnacentral:RNase_P_RNA from 3 species
GAAAGCAGGCGAGGUGGUUGCGGCCGAUCUCUUUGAGUGUCGGCUGAGGAAAGUCCGGGCUCCCUGAUGGCCAGGCUUGCUGGGUAACGCCCAGUGCGGGUGACCGUGAGGAGAGUGCCACAGAAACACACCGCCGAUGGCCGGUUCACCGGCACAGGCAAGGGUGCAAAGGUGCGGUAAGAGCGCACCAGCAGCAUCGAGAGGUGCUGGCUCGGUAAACCCCGGCUGGGAGCAAGGCCAAGGAACGACGGCUGGCCAUCGGCCCCGUUCCGCUUGAACGCGCCGCUCGAGGCCGUCGGCAACGGCGGUCCCAGAUAGAUAGCCACCCACCCUCUGCAGAUCAAACUCUGUGGUGGCGUGAACAGAACCCGGCUUAUGUCCUGCUUUCAACC